CAUAGCGACUAUCGUGGCAUAUCAAUAAGCGGAGGAAAAGAAACUAACAAGGAUUCCCUUAGUAACGGCGAGUGAAGCGGGAAGAGCUCAAAUUUGAAAUCUUCAAGGGUUCUACCUUUACGAAUUGUAGUUUAUAGAAGUGUUUUCUGUUAGUAGAGUCGGCUAAAAGUUCUUUGGAAUAGGACAUCAUAGAGGGUGAGAAUCCCGUAUUUGUACAGUUACUUUCUAGCUGUGUGAUACACUUUCAACGAGUCGGAUUGUUUGGGAAUGCAGUCCAAAAUGGGUGGUAAAUUUCAUCUAAAGCUAAAUAUUGGCGAGAGACCGAUAGCGAACAAGUACCGUGAGGGAAGGAUGAAAAGAACUUUGAAAAGAGAGUUAAACAGUACGUGAAAUUGUCAAAAGGGAAGCGUUUGACACCAGUGUUGUUUAGUUGAAAAUCAAUUCAAUAAUUUUUGAUUCUGAGUAGUAUUGACUUCAUCAGCUUGCUGCUUUCUUCUCAGAAAUUAUUGAAUGCACUUUUCAGUUAACAAGUCAACAUCAAUUUCUUUUGUUGUAAAAGGGUAAGAGGAAGGUGGCUUACGCUUCGGCGUCAAGUGUUUAUAGCCUUUUAUCUCUGCAAUCGGAGAGAUUGAGGUACAUGCAGCGUAGACUCCUUCGGGGUUAGAUACACUUGUGCUAAGCUAUAGCCUUGUAUAGACAACUUGUUGACUAUGCUCAGUCAUGUAGCUUACUCGCUGAUGCUAUUUUACCUACGCUUAGGAUGUUGACGAGACUGUCGAUCUC
rnacentral:rRNA from 1 species